rnacentral:rRNA from 1 species
ACGGGAGGCAGCAGUGAGGAAUAUUGGUCAAUGGACGAGAGUCUGAACCAGCCAAGUAGCGUGCAGGAUGACGGCCCUAUGGGUUGUAAACUGCUUUUGUACGGGAAUAAAGUGACCUACGUGUAGGUUUUUGCAUGUACCGUAAGAAUAAGGACCGGCUAAUUCCGUGCCAGCAGCCGCGGUAAUACGGAAGGUCCUGGUGUUAUCCGGAUUUAUUGGGUUUAAAGGGAGCGUAGGCGGCCGAUUAAGCGUGCUGUGAAAUGGCGGGGCCCAACCCCGUCCCUGCAGCGCGAACUGGUUGGCUUGGGUACACGCAAGGCAGGCGGAAUUUGUGGUGUAGCGGUGAAAUGCUUAGAUAUCACGAAGAACCCCGAUUGCGAAGGCAGCUUGCCGGAGUGUUACCGACGCUGAAGCUCGAAGGUGCGGGUAUCGAACAGGAUUAGAUACCCUGGUA